rnacentral:lncRNA from 1 species
GAUUUUGAGACGCCAGGGAAGAAGCCUCAGACGUUAGAGGCCGCACACUCUCAGAGCGCGCUUGCGGGCGUCUGGGCGCGGAUGAGCGGCCUUCUCCAGUCGCGAGUGCACAAAAGGUAGCGCCGAGUCUCUUCUCAGGCGACCCGAGCUAAGAGGAGAGGAGAGCGGGGUUUUCUGACUUCCAACUCAAUAGGGACCAGAGAGAAAGACUAAUUGAUAAAACUUUUGACACUGGAAAACUUGGUUAGAUUAGUAACCAAAGAUGUCAUCAUCUUAGCUACAGAAAAUCUUGGAAAAGGUUUUCUUUCUUCAGGAUCAGACACAGAAACUGAUUGAAUGGCUCCACUGAUCAGGAUUUGAAAAACCAAAUCUCAGAACCUACCACUUGGUGUAUGUCUGCCUUGAGCAGUUUCUUCUUUAGCAACAGGACACUUGCAUAAUAUGGGAGCAUCAUUUCUUCUUCACUUCUCCCUGAUUUUGUAAAAUGUGAUCAAUUUUUUUUUCAUAAUUUUUAAAGUUAACUUCAUGGGAAAUCUCGUUGCAAACACAAUGUAAAAGCUAAAAUGCAUCCUUUGAAAGAUGCGUGUAGGUCAUGAAGAGUUGGUUGAGAAAGAAGGGAACGUGGAAUAUCUGGUUUUAGAUCAUCCCAAACUUGUCUCAUCAAUAAAAUGUCAACUUCAGGUCUGCUUAUUUGUUGGACAGGAUAGAGAUGGAACUUUAAAAAGGCCUGGAGUGACCUGUGGAUUGAAGAGAAACCUCCCCAAACCAGAGAUGAGGACUUUUUCACCAGCAGUUUUCAAACACAGACUUGAAAAAUAAUAAAUUAACCUUUCAUUUCAACACCUUGAAACCUUAGAAAAUUGUGUGAUCACUGAUAAAUCAUUAAAAUCACUUUUUUCUUCUUUGAACAUAAUAAAGACCAUUUUUCUUAGACCUGUUAUAUACCUUCAAAUGGAGUAAAUACAAUGAAUAAACAAGUUACUUUAUAUUUUCAAUCUAGUUAUAGGGAAGGAAUGUUUUUGGAUCCUGGAUGUUAGCAGUUUCCUUUAAAAAAAAAAAAAACCCAGGAAACCCUUUAUAAAUGAAAGAAAUGUGUAUAGUAUGCAAAUUCAAAGUGUGCUGUCCUCAUUUACCCAGUGGAAUUCAAAAUAAGCCCCAACUUGUGAACAUAUUAAAACAGAUUGAAAUGGAUAUUAGUGGGAUUUGUACGGAGAAGCAC